rnacentral:rRNA from 1 species
AGCAGCAGCCGCGGUAAUACGGAGGGUGCAAGCGUUAAUCGGAAUUACUGGGCGUAAAGCGCACGCAGGCGGUUUGUUAAGUCAGAUGUGAAAUCCCCGAGCUUAACUUGGGAAUUGCAUUUGAAACUGGCAAGCUAGAGUCUUGUAGAGGGGGGUAGAAUUCCAGGUGUAGCGGUGAAAUGCGUAGAGAUCUGGAGGAAUACCGGUGGCGAAGGCGGCCCCCUGGACAAAGACUGACGCUCAGGUGCGAAAGCGUGGGGAGCAAACAGGAUUAGAUACCCGAGUAGUCCCUGUCUCUUAUAC